rnacentral:rRNA from 1 species
CCUACGGGUGGCAGCAGUGGGGAAUAUUGGACAAUGGGGGGAACCCUGAUCCAGCGACGCCGCGUGAGUGAAGAAGGAUUUCGGAAUGUAAAGCUCUAUCAGCAGGGAAGAAAAUGACGGUACCUGAAGAAGAAGCCCCGGCUAACUACGUGACAGCAGCCGCGGGAAUACGUAGGGGGCAAGCGUUAUCCGGAUUUACUGGGUGUAAAGGGAGCGUAGACGGUGUCGCAAGUCUGAGGUUCAAGGUCGGUGCCCAACCCCGGGACUGCAUGGGAAACUGUGGAACUGGAGUACAGGAGAGGUAAGCGGAAUUCCUUGUGUAGCGGUGAAAUGCGUAGAUAUUAGGAGGAACCCCAGUGGCGAAGGCGGCUUACUGGACUGUAACUGACGUUGAGGCUCGAAAGCGUGGGGAGCAAACAGGAUUAGAUACCCCUGUAGUC